rnacentral:rRNA from 1 species
GAGUUUGAUUCUGGCUCAGAACGAACGCUGGCGGCAGGCCUAAGACAUGCAAGUCGUACGAGAAAGCCCUUUCGGGGGUGAGUAGAGUGGCGAACGGGUUAGUAACGCGUGGGAACAUACACAGCACAGGGGGAUAACCAUUGGAAACGAUGGCUAAUACCGCAUACGCCCUAUGGGGGAAAGAUUUAUCGGUGUUGGAUUGGCCCGCGUUAGAUUAGCUAGUUGGUGGGGUAAUGGCCUACCAAGGCGACGAUUUAUAGCUGGUUUGAGAGGAUGAUCAGCAACACUGGAACUGAGACACGGUCCAGACUCCUACGGGAGGCAGCAGUCGGGAAUAUUGUGCAAUGGGGGCAACCCUGACACAGCCAUGCCGCGUGAGUGAAGAAGGCCUUAGGGUUGUAAAGCUCUUUCAGAUGUGAGGAUGAUGACGAUAGCAUCACAAGAAGCUCCGGCUAACUUCGUGCCAGCAGCCGCGGUAAUACGAAGGGAGCAAGCGUUGUUCGGAAUUACUGGGCGUAAAGGGCGUGUAGGCGGAUUAUCAAGUUAGGGGUGAAAUCCCGGGGCUCAACCUCGGCACUGCCUUUAAGACUGAUAAUCUAGAGUAUGUGAGGGGAUAAUGGAAUACCUAGUGUAGAGGUGAAAUUCGUAGAUAUUAGGUGGAACACCAGUGGCGAAGGCGAUUAUCUGGCACAUUACUGACGCUGAGGCGCGAAAGCGUGGGGAGCAAACGGGAUUAGAUACCCCGGUAGUCCACGCCGUAAACGAUGUAUACUAGUUGUCGGGCAUUGGUUCGGUGACGCAGCUAACGCAUUAAGUAUACCGCCUGGGGAGUACGGUCGCAAGAUUAAAACUCAAAGAAAUUGACGG